AGAACGAACGCUGGCGGCAUGCCUAACACAUGCAAGUCGAACGCCCUUGGGGCUUCGGUUCCAAGGGAGUGGCGCACGGGUGAGUAGCGCGUGGGAACCUGCCCUGGAGUGGGGGAUAACCGAGGGAAACUUCGGCUAAUACCGCAUGCGCCCGGGAAACCGGGGAAAGAUUUAUCGCUCUAGGAGGGGCCCGCGUCGGAUUAGCUAGUUGGUGGGGUAACGGCCUACCAAGGCUUUGAUCCGUAGCUGGUCUGAGAGGAUGAUCAGCCACACUGGGACUGAGACACGGCCCAGACUCCUACGGGAGGCAGCAGUGGGGAAUAUUGGACAAUGGGCGCAAGCCUGAUCCAGCAAUGCCGCGUGAGUGAUGAAGGCCUUCGGGUUGUAAAGCUCUUUCGCACGCGAGGAUGAUGACGCUAGCGUGAGAAGAAGCCCGGCUAACUUCGUGCCAGCAGCCGC
rnacentral:rRNA from 1 species